UACGUAGGUGGCAAGCGUUGUCCGGAAUUAUUGGGCGUAAAGCGCGCGCAGGCGGUCCUUUAAGUCUGAUGUGAAAGCCCACGGCUCGACCGUGGAGGGUCAUUGGAAACUGGGGGACUUGAGUGCAGGAGAGAAGAGUGGAAUUCCACGUGUAGCGGUGAAAUGCGCAGAUAUCAGGAGGAACACCAACGGCGAAGGCAGCUCUCUGGGACGUUACUGACGCUGAGACGCGAAAGCGUGGGGAUCAAACAGG
rnacentral:rRNA from 1 species